CUGGAUCCUGUUUGAACGCACCUUCUUUGAGAAGUUGCCGUCUUCUGAGUUGUCUUUUUCCUGUAUUUAUCUUUGCCUAAUGCAGCCUGAAUGACAAGUAUGAAGAGUGUCACCCUCAAUGACACCUUGGAAUCCUCAAACUGUUUUUCGUGGAGCCCGUCAGCAGGUGGAUGAUGGCCGAUCUGUAAGAAGAGAACCAAAAUGUCUGGACCUCUCAUCACACUCAGUACUGGUUACACUAACUGCGGGACCCAGAGCAAGAUGAAAACGUGAGGCCCCCGUCCACAGUCGUGAACGAUUUCAAGACAGUAAUCGAAGAGCAUGAUCCAUGCAUGAGGCCUCCCAGAUUGUGGCCCCUUGAGCAUGGACCCCCUGAGCCCAGCCUCUUUGUUCUGCAGAAGAACUUCAACUCUAAGUAGACAGUGAAAAGUUAAACUUCUAAAUUGAUUUAUUAACUCCAGCGACUACAUAGUCACACAGCUGUACAGAGUGACAUAGACCAGACCCAACAGAGAGGUUAACAUGGAAGAGUAAAAAAUAUUCUAAGAAUUCUAAGAAAGACAGAAAGGGAGAAAGAAAACAAUGAAAAAUAUAGGGGACAAACAAAACAAUAAAAUAGUAAACUUGUAUCCA
rnacentral:lncRNA from 1 species